rnacentral:rRNA from 1 species
UCCAGACUCCUACGGGAGGCAGCAGUGGGGAAUAUUGCACAAUGGGGGAAACCCUGAUGCAGCGACGCCGCGUGAGCGAAGAAGUACCUCGGUAUGUAAAGCUCUAUCAGCAGGGAAGAAGAUGACGGUACCUGACCAAGAAGCUCCGGCUAAAUACGUGCCAGCAGCCGCGGUAAUACGUAUGGAGCAAGCGUUAUCCGGAUUUACUGGGUGUAAAGGGAGCGCAGGCGGCCUUGCAAGUCUGAUGUGAAAGGCCGGGGCCCAACCCCGGGACUGCAUUGGAAACUGCGAGGCUGGAGUGUCGGAGAGGCAGGCGGAAUUCCUAGUGUAGCGGUGAAAUGCGUAGAUAUUGGGAAGAACACCGGCGGCGAAGGCGGCCUUCUGGGCCACGACUGACGCUGAGGCGCGAAAGCUAGGGGAGCGAACAGGAUUAGAUACCCGUGUACA